GCUUUCAUAGUACUCUUCUGACCAUGGUUUUCUGGAGUUUUUUCAUAUGGAGUUUGUAAGCUUCCUGACAUGUUAUUUUUGGUAGAUUUUGAUGGAUGUACAUUGAUGGAUAGCCACAUGGAUCCAGAAAAUAAAGACUUCUACUGUGCAUAUUGACUAAAGCAAAAGAUAUGCAAGGAAGCUCAGUCUCUCAGUUGAGUGGAUUCUGAAAUUUAUCCUGUUGUCUUCAGCUACUAAGGCUAAUUUGCAAAUCACACUGUGCACGGAAUGUGUGUGUCCCACCCCUGCAGUACUUCAGCAUUCUGAGGUAAAAAGACAAUUGGCUUACUGCAUCUUAGAAAGGUUUAUUGAUUUUGUUAUUGCUACAACUAUCAUGGGAGCAGAGGCAGCAAUUUCUCAAGCCUAGUUCCAAAAGGAUUAAACCUGACCAAGAUUUAUAAACAACCUGUUCAGUGGCUGCUGAUUAACUCCCAAAGAUUGAUGUACUGAAGAAGGAUGACCUCCCCUUGACACCAAUGCUACUAGUCAAUAGCAACCACUGUGACUCGGAACAAAUUCUCUGGGGGCAGGCAGUGAAGCUUCUUCUCUUGUUGACCUUACCAGACCACAAGGCUGAAAAUAUUCUGUGGCCUGAUGCCCUUAAAUUGAUCAUAUUAAUACAAUCAAGCAGAAAAGAAAUUAUUUUUCCCGCUCUCUGUCUAUACAUAUACUUACUACUAUAGUGUAGUAUAUAUAUAUAUAUACACACACUAUAUAUGUGUGUAUAUAUAUGCUAUAUAUGUGUGUGUGUAUAUAUAUAGCAGUACAUAUAGAUAUAAUUAGUAUAUAU
rnacentral:lncRNA from 1 species